GACGAACGCUGGCGGCGUGCUUAAUACAUGCAAGUCGAACGGAAAGGCCCUGCUUUUGUGGGGUGCUCGAGUGGCGAACGGGUGAGUAACACGUGAGUAACCUGCCCUGGACUUUGGGAUAACUUCAGGAAACUGGGGCUAAUACCGGAUAGGAGCUCCUGCUGCAUGGUGGGGGUUGGAAAGUUUCGGCGGUUGGGGAUGGACUCGCGGCUUAUCAGCUUGUUGGUGGGGUAGUGGCUUACCAAGGCUUUGACGGGUAGCCGGCCUGAGAGGGUGACCGGCCACAUUGGGACUGAGAUACGGCCCAGACUCCUACGGGAGGCAGCAGUGGGGAAUAUUGCACAAUGGGCGGAAGCCUGAUGCAGCAACGCCGCGUGCGGGAUGACGGCCUUCGGGUUGUAAACCGCUUUCGCCUGCGACGAAGCGUGAGUGACGGUAAUGGGUAAAGAAGCACCGGCUAACUACGUG
rnacentral:rRNA from 1 species